GAUGAACGCUAGCGGCAGGCUUAACACAUGCAAGUCGAGGGGCAGCAUGAGACGGAGAUUCGUCGAAGUCUUGAUGGCGACCGGCGCAAGGGUGCGUAACGCGUGAGCAACUUGCCCGUUUCAGGGGGAUAACCGUUGGAAACGACGACUAAUACCCCAUAGUAUCGUGAAGAGGCAUCUCUUUAUGAUUAAAGAAUUUCGGAAACGGAUAGGCUCGCGUGACAUUAGCUAGAUGGCGGGGUAACGGCCCACCAUGGCGACGAUGCUUAGGGGUUCUGAGAGGAAGGUCCCCCCACACUGGUACUGAGAUACGGACCAGACUCCUACGGGAGGCAGCAGUGAGGAAUAUUGGUCAAUGGUCGGAAGACUGAACCAGCCAUGCCGCGUGCAGGAAGAAUGUCUUAUGGAUUGUAAACUGCUUUUGUAUGGGAAUAAUAAUAGCUUUGCGAAGUUAGAUGCAUGUACCAUACGAAUAAGGAUCGGCU
rnacentral:rRNA from 1 species